UCUACGGGUGGCAGCAGUGGGGAAUUUUGGUCAAUGGGCGCGAGCCUGAACCAGCCAAGUCGCGUGAGGGAUGAAGGUUCUAUGGAUCGUAAACCUCUUUUAUAAGGGAAUAAAGUGUGGGACGUGUCCUAUUUUGUAUGUACCUUAUGAAUAAGGAUCGGCUAACUCCGUGCCAGCAGCCGUGGUAAUACGGAGGAUCCGAGCGUUAUCCGGAUUUAUUGGGUUUAAAGGGUGCGUAGGCGGCCUUUUAAGUCAGCGGUGAAAGUCUGUGGCUCAACCAUAGAAUUGCCGUUGAAACUGGGGGGCUUGAGUAGGUUUGAGGCAGGCGGAAUGCGUGGUGGAGCGGUGAAAUGCUUAGAUAUCACGCAGAACCCCGAUUGCGAAGGCAGCCUGCCAAGCCAUGACUGACGCUGAUGCACGAAAGCGUGGGGAUCAAACAGGAUUAGAUACCCUUGUAGUC
rnacentral:rRNA from 1 species